rnacentral:misc_RNA from 1 species
AAAAAGGCACAAAAACCUUUUUCCCCUUGAAAAAUUAUUCAAACUUGGUUUAAACAUAUUGAAUGGUCAUCAGCACUUCGCUAUAUUUGUUUUAUCUUUUACAUGAUAGAUAAUAGAUAGAGUAGACGAUACUUUCAAAAUAUUUACAUGCAUAUCAGUAAAACACAUAUGGAAACCCUGAGAAAUAAUUAUUAAACAACUUUAUUUAAUAGGGAACAACUUGUGCUUCAUACUUUAACUGAAUUAAAGUUGUAACAUAGCUGAAUAUGUUAUUAUUAUCCAAGAAGAAGGAUAAGAAGGUAAAGCUGUUCGAUUGAUGAAAUGCACUAUCAAGCUUGAAUAAUAUAGUUGAGGUGAGAAAUAUUGUGCAAAGAAACAAAAAGGCACAAUAUGGACAUAAUUGAGCCAAGUGCUCAAAGAAAACAAUGCAGGCAAAUGAGAGUAUAAUUUGGAGCGAAAACAAGAUUAAAAAUAGCAGUUGACAAAUAGAACCUGGCCAGGGGCAGAACCAUCAA